rnacentral:rRNA from 1 species
CAGCAGCCGCGGUAAUACGGAGGGUGCAAGCGUUAAUCGGAAUUACUGGGCGUAAAGCGUGCGUAGGCGGUUCGUUAAGUCUGUUGUGAAAGCCCCGGGCUCAACCUGGGAAUGGCAAUGGAUACUGGCGAGCUAGAGUGUGUCAGAGGAUGGUGGAAUUCCCGGUGUGGCGGUGAAAUGCGUAGAGAUCGGGAGGAACAUCAGUGGCGAAGGCGGCCAUCUGGGACAACACUGACGCUGAGGCACGAAAGCGUGGGGAGCAAACAGGAUUAGAUACCCCGGUAGUCCCUGUCUCUUAUAC